rnacentral:rRNA from 1 species
CCUACGGGAGGCAGCAGUGGGGAAUUUUGGACAAUGGGCGAAAGCCUGAUCCAGCAAUGCCGCGUGAGUGAAGAAGGCCUUCGGGUUGUAAAGCUCUUUUGUCAGGGAAGAAACGGUGAGAGCUAAUAUCUUUUGCUAAUGACGGUACCUGAAGAAUAAGCACCGGCUAACUACGUGCCAGCAGCCGCGGUAAUACGUAGGGUGCAAGCGUUAAUCGGAAUUACUGGGCGUAAAGCGUGCGCAGGCGGUUUUGUAAGUCUGAUGUGAAAUCCCCGGGCUCAACCUGGGAAUUGCAUUGGAGACUGCAAGGCUAGAAUCUGGCAGAGGGGGGUAGGAAUUCCACGUGUAGCAGUGAAAUGCGUAGAUAUGUGGAGGAACACCGAUGGCGAAGGCAGCCCCCUGGGUCAAGAUUGACGCUCAUGCACGAAAGCGUGGGGAGCAAACAGGAUUAGAUACCCUGGUAGUCCACGCCCUAAACGAUGUCUACUAGUUGUCGGGUCUUAAUUGACUUGGUAACGCAGCUAACGCGUGAAGUAGACCGCCUGGGGAGUCGGUCGCAAGAUUAAAACUCAAAUGAGUAGAGACGNGAGAGNGCGACGACGACGACGAGGGAGGAGG